AUUUCCUGUUUUUUAGUAGUAGAAUGUGUUAUGCAGUUUUUUGUAUGUAAUAGAUGUAUGAAGUACAAAAAAACACAUUUUACUCCAAAUGGAGCUUUCUC